AAAAAGAUUCGUUGAUAGUCGAGGCGGUCCGAUGACUCGAGCAAGGACAAAUCGAGUAAAAGAAGCGAUAAGAUUGCUCGUCAAGGUAACUAUUGAUGAAACCAUAAUUGGAACUCCAAAUGGGACAAGUUUCAUGUUGGGUCGAAGGCCCAAGAGACUUGGAUCAACGUGUUAAAGGCGGACGAAAACGAAGUGGAGAGCCAAAGCUGUGCGACCGCACAACACAAAUGG
rnacentral:lncRNA from 1 species